UCAUUCUUUCUUUCAACAGACUCGGAGUGUCUGCCCUGGGCCAGGAACUCUGCCUGACCUCCCAGAUGAGUGUCAUUAUGAUGCUUAAAUGAGGUAAUCUAUUGAGGACCUAACCCAGACACCUGGGACACAGGAGGCACCUGUCAGUGGUGGGUGCCAUCAUUCUCCAUUCUCCUGAAGAUGCCAGGCUGUCUUAUCUCCAUCGUGCUAAGGAGGACAAGGCAGCAUCUCCAGUGCCCAGCACAGAACCCCAAUAAGUGCUUACUGAAGGAAUUGAAUAAUAACCAUUUGUUUAAGGACAGUGUCUUCACUUGAGCAAUACUUCAUAAAACUCCAGUGCACAGCAAAGUCUCUGCCAGAAGGUGGGAAAUGCACACUCCUAGGCCCACAGCCAGAGAUUCUGAUCCUGCUGUACUGGUGGGCCCAGGAACCCACGCUGUUAUAGCUCUUCAGGCAAUUCUGGAAUAACUGGUGUUCACUGUGAGAAGCUCUAACCCCAAUGGAAGAGAGAAGGGAACUCAUAGACAGAGCCGUAUGUGGGAACUGGAUGAAGAACUCAUUAUCCCCUGAGGUCAGGACGACUGUCUGAUAGAUGGUGCUGGAAAACUCCCUCACUCCAUGGAGAAAAAUGGAGACGUGAAUAGAGAAAGACCAGGUUCUUAACAGCCAUAUGAAGAUGGACUCCAGAUGAAUCAAAGCAUACCAUAAAAGGGAAAACUAGAACUCAAUUAAGGUAUAGGAGAAUAUCUUUAUGACUUCAGGAUAUGGAAGGAUUUCUUAAACAAAGCCCCCAAAACACACAAAAAUAAGGCAAAAUGGUGAAUUUCAGUAAAUCAAAAUUAAGGAUUUCUGUUCCAAGAAAUGUAGAUAAGCUUAAAGGAUAGAGGACAAAAUGGGAGCAUUGCAAUUUCUAAACCCGGCCAAGAAUCUAGAAUAUAUA